rnacentral:rRNA from 1 species
UACGUAGGGGGCAAGCGUUGUCCGGAAUCAUUGGGCGUAAAGAGCGUGUAGGCGGCUUGGUAAGUCCGCUGUGAAAGUCCAGGGCUCAACCCUGGAAUGCCGGUGGAAACUGUCAAGCUUGAGUCCGGAAGAGGCGAGUGGAAUUCCCGGUGUAGCGGUGAAAUGCGCAGAUAUCAGGAGGAACACCGGUGGCGAAGGCGGGUCUCUGGGCCGACACGUGACGCUGAGGAGCGAAAGCGUGGGGAGCGAACAGG